rnacentral:rRNA from 1 species
CUCAGUUCGGAUCGAAGUCUGCAACCCGACUUCGUGAAGCUGGAUUCGCUAGUAAUCACGCAUCAGCCAUGGCGCGGUGAAUACGUUCCCGGGCCUUGUACACACCCGCCCGUCAAGCCAUGAAAGCCGGGGGUACCUGAAGUACGUAACCGCAAGGAGCGUCCUAGGGUAAAACUGGUAAUUGGGGCUAAGUCGUAACAAGGUACC